GCUCCUUUGACGUUAGCGGCGGACGGGUGAGUAACACGUGGGUAACCUACCUAUAAGACUGGGAUAACUUCGGGAAACCGGAGCUAAUACCGGAUAAUAUUUCGAACCGCAUGGUUCGAUAGUGAAAGAUGGCUCUGCUAUCACUUAUAGAUGGACCUGCGCCGUAUUAGCUAGUUGGUAAGGUAACGGCUUACCAAGGCAACGAUACGUAGCCGACCUGAGAGGGUGAUCGGCCACACUGGAACUGAGACACGGUCCAGACUCCUACGGGAGGCAGCAGUAGGGAAUCUUCCGCAAUGGGCGAAAGCCUGACGGAGCAACGCCGCGUGAGUGAUGAAGGUCUUCGGAUCGUAAAACUCUGUUAUUAGGGAAGAACAAACGUGUAAGUAACUGUGCACGUCUUGACGGUACCUAAUCAGAAAGCCACGGCUAACUACGUGCCAGCAGCCGCGGUAAUACGUAGGUGGCAAGCGUUAUCCGGAAUUAUUGGGCGUAAAGCGCGCGU
rnacentral:rRNA from 1 species